rnacentral:rRNA from 1 species
UACAGAGGGUGCAAGCGUUAAUCGGAAUUACUGGGCGUAAAGCGUGCGUAGACGGUUAUGUAAGUCAGGUGUGAAAGCCCAGGGCUCAACCUUGGAAUUGCAUUUGAGACUGCAUAGCUAGGGUGCGGAAGAGGGAAGCGGAAUUUCCGGUGUAGCGGUGAAAUGCGUAGAUAUCUGGAGGAACACCGGUGGCGAAGGCGGCAUCCUGGACCGGUAUUGACGCUGAGGCGCGAAAGCGUGGGGAGCAAACAGG